rnacentral:lncRNA from 1 species
CGCACUUAAUAACCACUUGCUGAACGAAUCAGUGCGUUUCCCGAAUCUGUCUGUGUGUCCCCAGGAUCCCAUCAGCAAACGGCAGCCUGAGAACCAGCCCCAGUGCCCCGAGGCGACCGGGGCGGGAAGGGACCGCGACCCAGGAGCAAUGCCGUUCGUCUCACCCACCCAGGCUUCGGUGGCGCUGCCCGUUCGCCCGGCCGGAGGGAUCCGGGGUCAGGCUCCCCACAUGGCCAUCCUCGGAGCCAUGCCCCGGCCCAACGCUCGCUCACGAGACCGUACACCUACCUGGACCAGCUCUGCCUUGCAGCUAAGGCCGCUUCACCCGGGAGACGCUAACUUCCGGCCCCCGGCGGAAGCGGAAACAGCGCUUUGGUUUCCCGCCCACUCCUUAAGCUAGUGUGGACACCGCCUCCUUCAACUGUUGAUCCCUGCGAACUUGUGACGUCUGCUAUGGCGCAUGCGCUCCCGUGGAGGCUCCCGUCUCACCAUGCAGCGCAGGCUGGCCUGGAACCCGAUGUGUAGACCAUGGUCCUGUGCUCAGAGACAAGCCUAUCUCUGUCUUCAGCCUGCUGGAACUGAAGGCGAGGAGCACCAAGCCAGCUGUUCAUCUUCAGCAGGACUUUGCUGUGCUGCCAGACUGGCCCGGAAGUUCUAGACCCAAGUGGUCCUCCUGCUUCACUCCUGUGUGUCUGGGACCACAAGUUCAGCCUUCAUAUCGUGAUGUUUACUUAAAAUCACAUCGAAGCCCGGGCGUGAUGGCAGCUGCCUAUAAUCCCAGCAGGUGUGUGGUGGGGGAGGGGACAGAAACAGGAGGUCCUAGAGUGCAAGGCCAGCCUGUGCCACAUGAGCUGAUGGCUCAGUGGUUAAGAGCACUGGCUGCUCUUCUAGAGGUCAUUAGUUCAAUAUUCAGCAACCGCAUGGUGGCUCACAACCAUCUAUCAUGGAAUUUGAUUCUCUCUUUGGUGUACAUGAAAGAAG